UUUUAUUGUCCCCUACAAGAAUAUAUGUAGUUUAGGGGUGGGGAUCUGGACCAUUUACAAGAUAAUAGCACAUUCUCAAAUUGACUGGGGUGGGGAUGACCCCCUGGGACCUCCCAUUAAUUUCAUUUGAUUUGUUUUAUUGUCCCAUUCAAGAAUAUAUAUGGUUUAGGGGUGGGGAUCUGGACCGUUUACAAAAUAUAAGCAUAUUCUCAAAUUGAAGGGGGUGGGGAUGAACUCCCAGGGACUCCCCCUAUAUUUCAUGUGAUUUGUUUUAUUGUCCUAUAAUCAAUUCUGAAGACUGCAUGUAUCUAUCACUUACAGUUUUCAAGUUAUAUUCAUUUGAAAAUUUUAGAAAAUAAAAUCCCAUAGGGUUCUAUAGUAAACCCCUUCCUCCUUUCUACCCCCAAAAUACCCCUUAAUAGACCCCAAUGCACAAACGAAAGAUUGAUGGCUCACCUAGACAUAUUAGUCUACCAUUUUAUGAAAUUCUAAGUCAAUCUGACAAGCGGUUUUGGAGAAACGCUGCGGACAAGUUCAUUUUUUAAAGUGGCGGAAGAAGAGGGAAGAAGAAGAAGAAGAAUAAUAAAAAUAAUAAGAACUGAGCAAAAACAAUAAGUCUCCAAACUUUGUUUGGGAGACUUAAUUA
rnacentral:lncRNA from 1 species